UACUUAAAUUUUAAUAUUAUUUUUUUUAUUUAUUAUUUUUCUUUAAUAAAAAUAAUUUAUUUUUUAGUAAUGUUUUAUGAAUUAAUUAUUAUUUAUUAUAGUUUAUUUGUACUGUAAAGGGUUUAUUUUUUUUAUUUAUAAGUAUACUUUGUGUAGUACCUUUUGUAUCAGGGUUUAUUUAAAUUUACUUAAUUAUGUUAAGUUUCCCGAAAGUAAAAGAUAUAAGGUUUUAUAAUUUUUUAUGUUUCAUAAUAAUUUUUAAUAUUAUCUUAGGGAUUAUAUGUUAUUCAUUUUUACAUAUCUGGUUCUUUAAUAAAUUAAUUUAAUUUAGGAUAUUUAUAGUUUAUUUAUAUUUUUAUUUUAUUUAAAUUUAAAUAUCCAAGGUUACUGGGGAUAAGCUUGGUAUCUAUUUCUAUAAUAUUAAUUUUAUUUAAAUUUUGUAGGUUUAGUAACAUCCAUCUUUAAUUUCGUUAUAGUUUAGUUUAUUUGAAGUUUUAUUUUGUAUUAUUUAGUUUUUUAUUAAAGUUAAUUAUUUAAUUUUAUAUUAUUUGUAUUAAUGAUAAAAUUAGUAGAUUAUAAAUUUAAAUUUAGUAAUUCGGCAAUUAUUACCUCCGCCUGUUUAACAAAAACAUGUCUUAUUGUUAAUAAUUUUAAGUCUAGCCUGCUCAAUGAAUAUUUAUUUUAAUAGCCAUAGUAUUUUAACUAUGCAAAGGUAGCAUAAUCAUUUGUCUUUUAAUUGAAGGCUUGUAUGAAGGGUUUGACGAGGGGUAGACUUUCUUAAUUUAAAUUUAAUUAAACUUAACUUCUAGGUAAAAAGGCUUAGAUAUAGUUUUGGGACGAGAAGACCCUAUAGAAUUUUAUUAUUAUAUUUUAUUUUUGUUAUUAUAUUAAUAAGAGUUAUUUGUAAUAAUUUUGUUGGGGUGACAGUGGAAUUUUUUUAACUUCUAUUAUUUAUAUUUCAUUAAUUAGUGUUUUAUUGAUCCUUUAUUAUGGAUUAUAAGAUUAAAUUACCUUAGGGAUAACAGCGUAAUUUUUUUGGAGAGUUCUUAUCGAUGAAAUAGUUUGCGACCUCGAUGUUGGAUUAAAGUUAAUUAUUAGUGCAGAAAUUAAUAAAUUAGGUCUGUUCGACCUUUAAAUCUUUACAUGAUCUGAGUUCAGACCGGCGUGAGCCAGGUUGGUUUCUAUCUAUAAUUUUUAUUAAAUAGUUUAGUACGAAAGGAUCCACUAUUUUUAAUAUUUAAUUAAUACUUGAUUUAUAUUAA
rnacentral:rRNA from 1 species